rnacentral:rRNA from 1 species
UGGGGAAUAUUGGACAAUGCGGGCAACCGUGAUCCAGCAAUGCCGCGUGAGUGAUGAAGGCCUUAGGGUUGUAAAGCUCUUUUACCAGGGAUGAUAAUGACAGUACCUGGAGAAUAAGCUCCGGCUAACUCCGUGCCAGCAGCCGCGGUAAUACGGAGGGAGCUAGCGUUGUUCGGAAUUACUGGGGGUAAAGCGCGCGUAGGCGGCUAUUCAAGUCAGGGGCGAGCAACUGAAACUGAUGAACUAGAGUGCGGGAGGGGUAGAGGGAAUUCCCAGUGUAGCGGUGAAAUGCGUAGAUAUUGGGAAGAACACCAGUGGCGAAGGCGCUCUACUGGGCUGCAACUGACGCUGAGGGACGAAAGCUAGGGGAGCGAAAGGGAUUAGAUACCCCCGUAGUCC